rnacentral:lncRNA from 10 species
UUUUACUACAAAAGAAAAAUUGGUUCACCUUAUGCAUUUCCUUAUACCAAAUUGUAUCUAUCAUCUCUCUCCAUAUUUUGUGGUAGUCAUUGCAUUCUCUUUAUCUCUCUUUUUAUGAUAAUGAAACUGGUAAUUUGCUUAUCUCCUAAAUAUCACAAUAGACAAAGGGAGGCAGAAGUGUGACACAAUAUCAUUGCUAUAUAGGUAAUUCAAUCAAUAUUCCCAUUUAUUCACACUAAAACACAUUAUAUUAUUUACUUCUCAAAACAACCCUAUGGAGUAUUUUAGUGUUUUUUUUUUUUUAAAUAAGAAGACAAAGGCCUAUGAGGAUAAGUAAUCUGUAGAAGAUCUCAUGGCUGUUAAAUUUUGAAGCCAGAGUUGGAGCUCAUGGUCAUCUCAAACACUGGUGUAAAAAUCUAUAUUCUUUCCAUUAUACUGUAUUUGAUGAACUAACCCUUCCUGCCCCCAUAUUUGGCAUUAGGGAGAUUUUCAUGAGGAUAUGAAAGGACAUAUUAUCUCUUGAUAUUAAUUUCCAGAUCUGUGAUAAACCUGAUAUCCGGAUAUCGAUCUGAAACCCUGGGGAAAAACACGUAUUUAGGAAAAGUAUCUUUAAAGAGGAUAUUUAACUAGUACCAGAUAAUCGAUUAAGAGCUUAUUAAUUUUCAUACUAAAUGUUGAUUGCUUUUAUACAUGAUCUUUUAUUUAAUGUGGGAUUUUCAAGUGGGCUUGAAAGUCUGAAUGGCUAGACUGAGUAAGUGCAAUAGAUAAUGUGGUUGGUUCUUACAAAUUAUUUUCUACCUUCAAUCCAGUUGACCCCUGGCUGCCAUUCCUCCAGCUCUUCCAAUGAUUUUGUAAACAUCUAAUUAUCUAUAAUAAGUCCUUUUCCUUUUGAAAUGCUUAUGGUAUUUUCUCUUUCAUACAACUGGACCUGACAGAUUAAAGAAGGAAGCUUCACACUUAGUAAAAGGUAAGACAAGAUGAAACUCAAUCACAAACUCUAGUCUUUUAUUGUAAUAGAAAGCUUAGACCUGUGCUAAAUAUGCCUUGAUAACUUUUAAUCUGUUUUCACCAUCUUCUCAACCUAGGUAGACUUGCUCAUUCGAUUGGUAAGUUCUAGGUACUAGGUAUUCAAGUAAAGAAAUUUCUUGAGGUACAGAAUAAAUGAAUGUCAUCCUCAGCGUACCAACAGUUUGAAAAAAUGAGAAGAAAAAUGGCAGCAGUAAAAGACCCCAUUAUGAACACAGAGUGCUUUUGGAGUGGAACACAUCCUGAGUGUGCCCUUUCAGUCCAGUCUCUUACUGAUGCUCUCCUAAUGGCAUUCACACAUGCAUACAGCUCGCCGCCCUAGAAGCGGCCUGCUUUAAGAUUGAAAAUAUGACUGAGAGUGGCCAAAAUACAACUCUCUGUGAGUGAUCCGGUUAUGUCCUAAUUAACUUUCAAUGUGUCAAAUUCAAGUGAUAGAAAAUGGCCAAGGAAUUAAGGAGGAUUUAACAAAGAGCUGCUGAAGGUUUCACUGAUGUGGAAGCAGUGAAUUUAUAUUUCAGAAGGAAUACACAGAUAAGUGAUGGAUUCAGAGAAUUUAUAAGCUUAAAAAUGAAUUUUAAAAAUAUAAAUAAAAUGAUAUCUGCUUUGUG